UUGAUCACAAAGUCUCAGUCCUGUUUGAACUACGUGGAGGUGUUGUGGUCCCAGAGUCUCGAGAUCAACAGUUUGUAGGACGAGUUCAUUGGGACAAAGACGUCCUCAGAGAUGGACGACUCAGGCUUCAUAUGUCCAGACUCAGGACUGAGGACUCAGGCUGGUACCUGUGUGAUGUGAGGACAAACUGUGGUGUGGACUUUGGUGAAUGUUGCCUCAAUGUCUCUGCAGCGAGGAAUUGGCCCAAACCUGAGAGACCCAACACAGACACACCUGAGAGACCCAACACAGACACACCUGAGAGACACAACACAGCAGGUGGUGGAAGGAUCGGCCUCUACUGUGUACUGGGACUGACAGCAGCAGUGGUAGUUGUGUUGGUUGUUCGUUACAUUUUAUUUAUUCACUAUCUGUCUGAUGAACAACAUUUCUCCUCAGGCUCCGAUGGAGGAUCUGAGGAAAUAGUUUGAUCAACAAAACUUAAUGAAACAAUUGUAUACGAUGGACAGAUCUGAAGAGAGCAGCAGACUUUGAUACAAUCAGGGAACCAGGGAGGAGAGGGGAGAGUUCCAGGAUGGAUCCGUGCUAAUCAAACUCUGUUUUAAGGUCCUGGCUAAUGUCCCGUCGCAGGGAAGGGAAAUAAACAAAUGGGGCUCAGGCUGGUUAAACAACUUUAAAUCGGGGACUGUUGGGUGCCCACAGACAUCCUGGAUGAGGCUGUAAAUCACUGUAUGGAGAGUUUUCACUCUGUGCCUUCUGAACGUUACAGUACACUGCCUCUCCUAAUGUUCUGUUUAUAAUGUGUACAUACUGUAAAUAAAUCUCUAUUUAUAUGAGAGAUGUUGCUUUGACUCCUCUCUAAGUCUGUUAAUAUCCCAGGACUUGGCAGACACAUGAAAUCUGCCAAGUCACGUAGACAACUUUGAGUCCACAGACGCCGACACCGACUCGCUCGUCAUCUCUGGAAACACUUUUCAAACUCAGCUGUUCACUGAUUGGGUUGAGAAACAAACUGCUGCUCCGUGCAACACAGGACGUAUCACACGGCAGACUUCUCUCAGCUAAAUCUUUGAUACUGUACCUCAGGCGAAGCACAGAUCAUGGCAUCAUCACAGAUAAGCACGGGAAAGAAAAUGAAUACGCUGCCAGACGAGAAAUGAAAGAGCAGAAAAAAGGGCCAUAUUUAUCCUAAAAUUAACACAAUCCUUUUCAAUCCAAUUCCUGCGUGAUGUCACCUGUGUAAACCUGUUAGCACGUGUACGCGACAAACACAACAACAGAUAACAGCAGAGACCAGCUGCCUCGCUCAUCAUCCCAGUGUACGCUCAUUUCCACAACGUUUCAGCAAAUUUUAUAGACCCUGUUGGUGAAAAAUCCCAAAGUCGAUCUCAGGUUGAAAACUGCUGGACAGUCGCACAACUGCACUUCAUAUCCACCGUAUUAGUUUCAUCUCAGUCUCAGACUUCCGCUUUCAAAAUAAUCCAACUAUCCAGUCAGAGCGGUCUGGUUUCUGCUGCGGUCGUUCCUCUCAAACUGCACUGCUGUCCUGGUAUUUAUGUGGAUGUAACUUGACUUGUAUAUCUGACCCAAACGCUGCUCAACCAUCAGAAUGUGACAGAGAGCUUAGGGUGUCGACCUGGCCUCCAAAUUGUUGCGCACCCAAUUCGACUGAGCAUCCAUCGAACGUGCUGGAACAAGUCUGAUCCAUGAGGGUCCCACCUCGCAUCCCAGAGGACUCAAAGGACCCAGACACCUCUGGAUACCCUCAGAGGUUCCGUGUCCAUGACCCGACAGGUCAGAGCCAAGUUCACUCCACAGUGUCGCCUCCAGGGAUCCGACAUGUUCCGUCACAUCGUAACAGAUGUUCAGAUGGAUUGGCAUUCUUAUUUAUUUUUUAUUUCUUGUAUGUAAAAACCACAGGAGCCGAUGAAACAGGUGUCAUAUUUAUCAUUGAUCAGAGCGUAAGAGAUGUGUUUGACAGGUACUUUAUAUUUCAUACUUGUUCUGUUAGCACCAGACAAGCUGCGAGCAGGGACAGCAAAAACAUAAAUAAAUACAAUAAAAAUAUAAAAAUAAAGUGGAUUUGAGACCGAACAAUUCUUUGCUCAGCCAUUUUUUAUUUGGUUACUGAAACAUCUAAAAGAGCUUUGCUGGUUCUCCACUGUGUGCUGUUAGACAAGGAAUCAGUUGUGUGUGUGUGCAUGUGUGUGUGUUUGAGAUCAAAGCAACAGAAUCAGACCAAUAGAAUAAAACCAAUAGCAUCCAGCCAAUAGAAUCAAAGCCAAACAGAACCUCCGUUCCAUCAAAGCAACAUUCCAUUCUGAUUUAACAGUAGGUCAACAGGACAACAUCUCUUCAGUCCAGCUCUUAGUCUACCACUGACACAGCUGUGAAAACGUGAGAGCACUAACACAACGAGGAGCGCAAAGAGAAAGACGUCUGAUACGGACGAUUCUUUUCAGAGACAACAGCAUUUUUCUGAGUCAGAUUAUAUCAGGCGAAUAAAAUGGACUCUAAGGAGCACCACAGAGAAAUGUCUUGGCAAGGUCUUCAUCAAGAGGACGAAGACACAAAGUCGAGGCAGAAAAGGCCGAUACAUGUGUAUGAAAUCCCUCCCAACGGGGUAAAAGAAAUAAUCACAGAGAUAGAGAAGCGGUUAAAAAGCAGCGGUGAUGAAACUGUUAGCAAUCCAAAGAUAGCUACUCAGCUGAGAGCUAACACCGGGCAGAAGUUUCAAACUGACCUCGAGGUGGAAAAUGAGCUUCUUAGAGCUGAGCUCCAGGUGGAGAAGCAGAAGUUUCAAACUGAUCUCGAGGUGGAGAAGGACAAGCACGAGCUGGAACUCUCCAGCAGGAGCUUGACGAGGAAGCCAAGGCUCACAAAAACUCAAAAACCACAGGAGCCGAUGAAACAGGUGUCAUAUUUAUUAUUGAUCAGAGCGUAAGAGAUGUGUUUGACAGGUACUUUAUAUUUCAUACUGUACUCAUACUGUACAUACUUCGUUCUGUUAGCACCAGACAAGCUGCGAGCAGGGACAGCAAAAACAUAAAUAAAUACAAUAAAAAUAUAAAAAUAAAGUGGA